rnacentral:rRNA from 1 species
GAUUAGCUUGUUGGUGAGGUAACGGCUCACCAAGGCGACGAUCCCUAGCUGGUCUGAGAGGAUGACCAGCCACACUGGAACUGAGACACGGUCCAGACUCCUACGGGAGGCAGCAGUGGGGAAUAUUGCACAAUGGGCGCAAGCCUGAUGCAGCCAUGCCGCGUGUAUGAAGAAGGCCUUCGGGUUGUAAAGUACUUUCAGCGGGGAGGAAGGUGUUGUGGUUAAUAACCGCAGCAAUUGACGUUACCCGCAGAAGAAGCACCGGCUAACUCCGUGCCAGCAGCCGCGGUAAUACGGAGGGUGCAAGCGUUAAUCGGAAUUACUGGGCGUAAAGCGCACGCAGGCGGUCUGUCAAGUCGGAUGUGAAAUCCCCGGGCUCAACCUGGGAACUGCAUUCGAAACUGGCAGGCUUGAGUCUUGUAGAGGGGGGUAGAAUUCCAGGUGUAGCGGUGAAAUGCGUAGAGAUCUGGAGGAAUACCGGUGGCGAAGGCGGCCCCCUGGACAAAGACUGACGCUCAGGUGCGAAAGCGUGGGGAGCAAACAGGAUUAGAUACCCUGGUAGUCCACGCCGUAAACGAUGUCUACUUGGAGGUUGUGCCCUUGAGGCGUGGCUUCCGGAGCUAACGCGUUAAGUAGACCGCCUGGGGAGUACGGCCGCAAGGUUAAAACUCAAAUGAAUUGACGGGGGCCCGCACAAGCGGUGGAGCAUGUGGUUUAAUUCGAUGCAACGCGAAGAACCUUACCUGGUCUUGACAUCCACGGAAGUUUUCAGAGAUGAGAAUGUGCCUUCGGGAACCGUGAGACAGGUGCUGCAUGGCUGUCGUCAGCUCGUGUUGUGAAAUGUUGGGUUAAGUCCCGCAACGAGCGCAACCCUUAUCCUUUGUUGCCAGCGAUUAGGUCG